rnacentral:rRNA from 1 species
CCUACGGGAGGCAGCAGUCGAGAAUCAUUCACAAUGGGGGAAACCCUGAUGGAGCGACGCCGCGUGGGGGAAUGAAGGUCUUCGGAUUGUAAACCCCUGUCAUGUGGGAGCAAAUUAAAAAGAUAGUACCACAAGAGGAAGAGACGGCUAACUCUGUGCCAGCAGUCGCGGUAAUACAGAGGUCUCAAGCGUUGUUCGGAAUCACUGGGCGUAAAGCGUGCGUAGGCUGUUUCGUAAGUCGUGUGUGAAAGGCGCGGGCCCAACCCGCGGACGGCACAUGAUACUGGGAGACUAGAGUAAUGGAGGGGGAAGCGGAAUUCUUGGUGGAGCAGUGAAAUGCGUAGAUAUCGGGAGGAACACUCGUGGCGAAGGCGGGUUCCUGGACAUUAACUGACGCUGAGGCACGAAGGCCAGGGGAGCGAAAGGGAUUAGAUACCCGAGUAGUC